rnacentral:rRNA from 1 species
UACGUAGGGUGCAAGCGUUAAUCGGAAUUACUGGGCGUAAAGCGUGCGCAGGCGGCUUCUCAAGUCAGGGGUGAAAACCCAGAGCUCAACUCUGGAAUUGCCUUUGAGACUGAGUGGCUUGAGUACGAGAGAGGUGAGUGGAAUUCCCAGUGUAGAGGUGAAAUUCGUAGAUAUUGGGAAGACCACCGGUGGCGAAGGCGGCUCACUGGCUCGUAACUGACGCUCAUGCACGACAGCGUGGGGAUCAAACAGG